AUCUUCACAAUGGACGAAAGUCUGAUGGAGCAACGCCGCGUGAGUGAAGAAGGGUUUCGGAUCGUAAAACUCUGUUGUUGAAGAAGAACGAACGUGAGAGUAACUGUUCACGUUGUGACGGUAUCCAACCAGAAAGCCACGGCUAACUACGUGCCAGCAGCCGCGGUAAUACGUAGGUGGCAAGCGUUAUCCGGAUUUAUUGGGCGUAAAGAGAGUGCAGGCGGUUUGUUAAGUCUGAUGUGAAAGCCUUCGGCUCAACCGAAGAAGUGCAUUGGAAACUGAUAAACUUGAGUGCAGAAAAGGAGAGUGGAACUCCAUGUGUAGCGGUGAAAUGCGUAGAUAUAUGGAAGAACACCAGUGGCGAAGGCGGCUCUCUGGUCUGUAACUGACGCUGAGACUCGAAAGCAUGGGUAGCAAACAGGAUUAGAUACCCUGGUAGUCCAUGCCGUAAACGAUGAAUGCUAAGUGUUGGAGGGUUUCCGCCCUUCAGUGCUGCAGCUAACGCAUUAAGCACUCCGCCUGGGGAGUACGACCGCAAGGUUGAAACUCAAAGGAAUUGACGGGGGCCC
rnacentral:rRNA from 1 species